UACGUAGGGGGCAAGCGUUGUCCGGAAUCAUUGGGCGUAAAGCGCGCGUAGGCGGCCCGGUAAGUCCGCUGUAAAAGUCCAGGGCUCAACCUUUGAAAGCCGAUGGAUACUGUGUGGCUAGAGUACGGAAGAGGCGAGUGGAAUUCCUGGUGUAGCGGUGGAAUGCGCAGAUAUCAGGAGGAACACCAAUAGCGAAGGCAGCUCGCUGGGACGUUACUGACACUGAGGCGCGAAAGCGUGGGGAGCGAACAGG
rnacentral:rRNA from 1 species